rnacentral:rRNA from 1 species
CCCUUAGAUGUUCUGGGCCGCACGCGCGCUACACUGAUGCAUUCAACGAGCCUAUCCUUGACCGACAGGUCCGGGUAAUCUUUGAAUCUGCAUCGUGACGGGGAUAGAUUAUUGCAAUUAUUAAUCUUCAACGAGGAAUGCCUAGUAGGCGCAAGUCAUCAGCUUGCGUCGAUUACGUCCCUGCCCUUUGUACACACCGCCCGUCGCUCCUACCGAUUGAGUGGUCCGGUGAGGCUUUGGGAUCUGAGCGGAAAGAGCGUUUCGCUGUUUCUGCUCGGAAAACUCAGUCGAACCUCAUCAUUUAGAGGAAGGAGAAGUCGUAACA